AAGUCGUAACAAGGUUUCCGUAGGUGAACCUGCGGAAGGAUCAUUAACGAGUAACUGAACAGGUUGUAGCUGGCCUCUAGGGGCAUGUGCACGCCUGGCUCAUCCACUCUUCAACCUCUGUGCACUUGUUGUAGGUCGGUGGAAAGGCUCAAGUUGACUUUUGUUAACUUGCGCUCGGAAGCCUUCCUAUGUCUUUACAAACGCUUCAGUUUAAGAAUGUAAUCUCUGCGUAUAACGCAUUUAUAUACAACUUUCAGCAACGGAUCUCUUGGUUCUC
rnacentral:misc_RNA from 1 species